CAGUCGCCGCGGUAAUACGAAGGGUGCAAGCGUUAAUCGGAAUUACUGGGCGUAAAGCGUGCGUAGGCGGUGAGUUAAGUCUGCUGUGAAAUCCCCGGGCUCAACCUGGGAAUGGCAGUGGAUACUGGCUCGCUAGAGUGUGUCAGAGGGGGGUGGAAUUCCGCGUGUAGCAGUGAAAUGCGCAGAUAUGCGGAGGAACACCGAUGGCGAAGGCAGCCCCCUGGGCCAACACUGACGCUCAUGCACGAAAGCGUGGGAAGCAAACAGGAUUAGAUACCCCCGUAGUCCCUGUCUCUUAUAC
rnacentral:rRNA from 1 species